CUCCCAAGACGGGCCCUGCCAAUGCCAAUCUCUAAUAGGGCCCAAAGCACAGGCCUGGGAAGAUGCAAUUGGAUUUGAAGCCAAUCAAUCAUUCCAGCUAUUGACCUAUGAUUGGAUUUAGAAGACAUGUCAGGGCCGCUUUGAUUUUAGCUCGGGCCCAAUGAAGCUGGAUGUGAAGGUUUAUUGUUUCAGACGGACCGAGAGCUGUGUGUGGGCUUUGACACGCUGCCAGAAGAGAUGGAUGCGUACAAUGACUGCUGUAUCCAUCCAUCAGAGUUAGAAUCCGUCAUCUCAUCUUUCACAGGAGUGGCGUACAACAUCAUCCGCUGCUUUUGAGGUGGUGUAGCAUGACCUAGAUGAGGAGAACGACGGAGAAGAAGAGCUAUGGUAAUGCAAAGAGACCUUCAGCGUCUGUCCCUGUCGUUUCAAUUACAAGAGCGAGAUUAAUUUUCCAUUUGAGGACCUCUGAAAGAUGGCAACAUCUUCCCAAAAACAUUCCGCUGAUAAAUGAAAAGCAGCGGCACUCUAGAAAUAAUGACAUGAAUUACAGCACACUCUUGCUGCGGUAAUCGCAGAGUAGCUAUUGGAUAUAAAGACUGAUCAAUAUGCCCUCUGAAGGCCUGCAGAAGGACAAGCGAGGAAAGCCAGUCAGGCGACCGAAGACGAAACCUGAAUCGAGUGGACUGGCAAGUAGAUUGGUAAGACGCUGGAAAGUGGUGGAAAGGGAGGAUCAUGCAAGCCAGAUUUGAAUUCAUGUUCCUAAGAUCACUUUUACGACCCACUGCACCAACUUGCCUGAUCAGGAAUGGAUCAAAUGUGUGGUACUGCGGGCAGCUCAACCACAAGCCCACUCUGUGAGCCAAUCAAUGUGGAGAAGAAAGCAGAGCCGCCGCCUUUUGCCCAAUGACAAGUUGUGCGGCAGCGGCCAGUGCCAAGCUGAUAGGGAAUCGAUAAGACGCAAAACCUGACAUCAAUCCCAGAGAACCUGCAAGACGAUCAGAUGGGCACAGAGAUGAACAGACACUCCAUCGUGGUCUUAAUGGUCUUACUGGAGGUCAGUCAGUUUUAUCCUAGCUCAGCUUUCUGCAUUAAACAAUGUCCGUUCUAGCUCACCAUGGACCACUGAUGGGUUAUAUAUACUAAUGUACUAACGUUCUUUUGCCCAGAAAGGUCUGGUGCUUUCUAAAUGUCAAAGUCAAGAUUAGACGUCCUAAGCCUAAGAACUAGGCUGAAACGGAGUUAAAAUAGACAGUCUUGUCUGAGACCAAAGUAGAGAUCAUGUAUCAGACUAAGACUGUGUGAGACCCAAAUCCACUCUGAAGUCACAUUCAUGUGGACUUGAGAGGUCUUGUCCAGAGCAAUCUUGGCCUCUAAAGAGAUACGAACUUAAAAGUUGUGGUAUCCCUCACUUAGGGUUCCUCAGUGGUCAAAAAAGACUGAAAUAAAAGAAGGGAUAUUAUAUAUUUGGACAUUAUAAAAUACGUUUUUGGAGUUUUAUUGAUUUUACUCCCCAAAAAAUUGCUCUGUAUUUUUAUAUUUCUCAUUCAUUUCAUAUGGUGGUCAAUUUUGACAUCACAGGUGUAGCCAUUUUUUUAAGACCAUUUGGCCUAAUCAGGUUCACUGUUUUUAUUUUGUUCGUUUAGCAAGUGCCACAAAAGUGACUUUUUUGUACCAGUCCAAGAAAGUAAAAAAGUUACAAAUUCAAUUGUAAAUUUUAAUGAAGUGGGUUAAGAUUGUUGGUUCAGUCCCUCAAUUUAUUGCUCAUUGAAGCUGUUGAUGACAAGAGAAACAGCCCAGACUAAAUAUCACAAAUGCAUGACUUUGCAGGGAGAACAAUCAUGAUGGGCAUUUACUGUAAAUCCAAAUGAGUGUGCUAACAAAUGUUGCAUAAAUUAGUGAUGAACCGAAAUAAUCCCUUCGCACUGUGUGAGAGCCUUUGAAUUGCAUGGAAAGGGAAAACUAAAGUACCCACUGUUGGGACUGUUGACUGUUAUUUUAAAUCUCUACACCCCGUUGAAGCUUCAAAGCUGUAGAAGUCUUUGUAAAAGGGCAUUGACACUGAACACGCUGAGCAUUGCUUCUGAAAUUCUGUGUAACUUAGACCGACUUCUUCCAAACGGCCGUCAUAUUAAAGAAAGAGGGAGUGUAAACCCGAGUUUCCGCCUCCUCCUAUUCUCUUCCUUAUUUCCCAAUCUGUUAUGUCUUGACAUCUCCAUUAACUCAUAAAUCCAAUACAGUGGAGCUCAACAGAAUUUAUCUUCCACGAGUCUACAGGCGAGGUUGGGUAGAGGGAGCGUCAGGAGACCGGAGAGGAGGAGAGAGGGAUGGCAAAUGAUGAGAAGAUCAAUCGGUCCCUGGGCUGUCACUCCGCUCGCUCGUUUUCACAUCCAUCUCCACCCCUCCUCCCUCCCUCCCUCCGUCCGUCUGAGACUGACACCACCCCUCCUUUCUCUGGCAGGCCCGGCGGAUUCUGCAGGCGCGGCUGUUUGGGCCCGCAAUAAUCCGAUUGAGUGUGGGAUCAAUGACAAGCUGUGGUCAGCGAUCUGUAGUUGCUCCGGCUCCCAUUGCACGCUGACCACAGGAUCCCCAAACCGCUGACCGCCUAACCGGCAUGGCCUGACCACUAAUUUGGUCCGCUAUGCCAAGGCGCCCGGACAAGGUGGGCAAGUUAAACUGGCAUGUGAAAUCCUAAAAAUACAGCAAUUAUGGCUCCAAAUGUUAAAGGUUAGACAGGUUUCUAUAGCUCACAUGGUUCUAGUAACAGCAAGAUCUUGAGUUCACCUUAAAAUUAAUGCAAUUUGUCCAAUAUUUAUACUUGAAAUUAUGCCAGAAUUUACACUUGAAAGUUUCCCAACUAUUGACAACGUUUUGGACGGAAAGUGAUGAUGCCUUUUGUCUGAUAUUCGAGUGUACGAUAAAUCUGCAUCAUCGCCUCUUCAGAGUCUGUACUGUAAGUUGAUUUUAUGGAAACAUCUAUUAAAUAACUACUUAGU